rnacentral:rRNA from 1 species
UGGGGAAUAUUGCACAAUGGGCGAAAGCCUGAUGCAGCAACGCCGCGUGAGGGACGACGGCCUUCGGGUUGUAAACCUCUUUUAGCAAGGAAGAAGCGAAAGUGACGGUACUUGCAGAAAAAGCGCCGGCUAACUACGUGCCAGCAGCCGCGGUAAUACGUAGGGCGCAAGCGUUAUCCGGAAUUAUUGGGCGUAAAGAGCUCGUAGGCGGUUUGUCGCGUCUGCUGUGAAAACCCGAGGCUCAACCUCGGGCCUGCAGUGGGUACGGGCAGACUAGAGUGCGGUAGGGGAGAUUGGAACUCCUGGUGUAGCGGUGGAAUGCGCAGAUAUCAGGAAGAACACCGAUGGCGAAGGCAGAUCUCUGGGCCGUAACUGACGCUGAGGAGCGAAAGGGUGGGGAGCAAAACAGGCUUAGAUACCCUGGUAGUCCACCCCGUAAACGUUGGGAACUAGUUGUGGGGUCCAUUCCACGGAUUCCGUGACGCAGCUAACGCAUUAAGUUCCCCGCCUGGGGAGUACGGCCGCAAGGCUAAAACUCAAAGGAAUUGACGGGGUCAUAGCUGUUUCCU